GGAGCCUCAGGGCUGGAGGAGCUCAGACUGCACACACACUCACAUGCACACAUCACACACUCUCUCUGGCUCACUCAGACAGGGACACACUGUGCGGCGGGUGAGGAUGUUGUGCAGGUCGCUGUGUGGGGGUCUGCGGGGGGGUCUGCGGGCGGUGGCAGGCAGGAGAACACCUGUACCUGCUGCAGCUCUGCAGGCCCGUCACAUGUCCUUUGGAAUUCCUACCUCAGGCUCAAACCUGGCCAUCAUGGUACUGGGAGGAGGCUCUCUGACUGCUGCUCUCUUCUAUGCGUAUAAGACUGUGCACUCCGACAGUGUGAGGUACAGCAACCGCAUCACAGACAUCGAGACCAAACUCACAACUCCAGCAGAUGAGCCAGCUUCCAUUGCUGAGGUGAUGACAGUAAACGCAGUGUCUGAGGCUGUGGAAAGCGUGGAAUCUGCAACUGAAGCAGCGUCAGAGGCUUCCGACCCGGGGCCUAACCUCCCAGCGGAUGUUUCCGCAACAGAAGAGCCAGCUGCUGAGACAGUGGUUGCAAUAGCAACAGAACCGCCCCCUGAAGUCAAAGAGGCUGCUGAAGAUCUGGUUAGCGUGGCCAUGGAAGCAGCCGAGGCAACGGUGGCUCCGGUGUUGGAGGUUCUGGACGCUGUGAAGGUUCUUAGCAGUUCUGUGGCAGAGAUGGCUGCUGCUUCAGUGGGGGACGAGAGCAGCUCAGCAGCACUAGCGCCCCCCAUUGGGCGAGCAGAGGAGCGGAGGGUGGUUUUGGCCGAGGAAGUCAAGCUGGAGCAAGUUUACGAAGAUUUUGCGACCUCCAACAAGGAGAUACCGCACUGCUAUCAGUGUUCUGACUCACACUCUGAACAUGCUGAACUUGAAGCCUCUACAAUGCCCCCUGCUGGUCUGGAGGACACUUCACAUGUUGGACAUGUGGAAAACGAAUACUCUCCCAUUGGUUUAGAGGGUGCUGAGGGUCCUGAAACCUCCCCAUUCCAUAAUGCUGGUCUGGAGGACACCUUAUAUGGGGGAAACGUGGAACCUGAACAGUCCAUAAUGUACCCUGUUGGUCGGGAGGAGAACACAGCGCAGGAUGAUUUCCUGGAGGAUUACGCAGCAGCCUUGGAGUCUGUGGAGGAGACUGGAGCUGAAGAUGCAGAUGAAAAGGACACAAGGGCGAUGUGAAGAAAACUGACUUCUGGAACCUGGAGUCAAACAGUCAAGCUUGAUACUAUGUUACUUUGUUACUAUGAUACCCUGUUUCCAUAUUAGUAUGUUACACUAUAUUAGUAUAUAGUUACUUUAUUACCCACCCGGUUACCUUGUAACACUGUUAGCCUAAAACUGUUACCCUUAAACCUUGUAACUAUGCUACCUUUUUUACAUUGUUUCCAUAUUAGUAUGCUAUUCCAUUACCCUGUUACCUUGUAAACCCUGUUGAUUCCCUGUUACCAUAAUUGAAUGCUACUCUAUAUUUUUAUGUUACUCUAUUACCUAUUCUGUUACAUGGCCCGGCUCACUGAUACCCUGAUACCUUGUAACUAUGUUACCUUGUUUCAUUGUUAGCAGGUUGCCCUAUUAACAUAUUAGUAUGCUACUCCAUUACUCUGUUACCUUGUUACGUUGCUAUCUUAUCAUAUUGUUACCCAGUUACUCUUCUGUUUUGUUGUUAUGCUCUUACCUUGUUACCCUGAUUCUUUGUGAUUAUGUUACCUUGUUGCAUAGUUUUCAUAUUAUCCCUGUUACCUUGUUAGAUUGUUACCCUGUUGUUUCCCUGUUACCAUAAUUGUAUGGUACUCUAUUACCUAUUCUGUUACCUUGUUACAUGAUCCUACUGCAUUUUCACCUUGUUAUCUUGAACUAUGUUACCUUGUUUCAUUGUUAUCACGUUGCUCCAUUAUCAUAUUAGUAUGUUACUUCAUUAUCCUGUUACAUUGUUAUAUUGUUACCUAGUUACUUGACCCUGCUUUGAUUGUUAUUUUCUUUCCA
ensembl:lncRNA